GUCGAGAAUCUUUCACAAUGGGGGCAACCCUGAUGGAGCGACGCCGCGUGGAGGAUAAGGUCUUCGGAUUGUAAACUCCUGUCAUGCGUGAACAAGGUUGCUUGGUUAAUACCUGGGCAAAUUGAUGGUAACGCAAGAGGAAGAGACGGCUAACUCUGUGCCAGCAGCCGCGGUAAUACAGAGGUCUCAAGCGUUGUUCGGAAUCACUGGACGUAAAGGGUGCGUAGGUGGCGUGGUAAGUCAGAUGUGAAAGCCCGGGGCUCAACCUCGGAACUGCAUCCGGUACUGCCAUGCUAGAGUACUGGAGAGGUGACUAGAAUUCUCGGUGUAGCAGUGAAAUGCGUAGAUAUCGAGAGGAAUACCAAAGGCGUAGGCAGGUCACUGGACAGUUACUGACACUGAGGCACGAAGGCCAGGGGAGCGAACGGGAUUAGAAACCCUGGUAGUCC
rnacentral:rRNA from 1 species